rnacentral:rRNA from 1 species
GACGAACGCUGGCGGCGUGCUUAACACAUGCAAGUCGAACGGUGAAGCGCCUUCCUUUUUGGUGGGUGUGGAUGAGUGGCGAACGGGUGAGUAACACGUGAGUAACCUGCCCCCUUCUUCUGGAUAACCGCAUGAAAGUGUGGCUAAUACGGGAUAUUCUGGGUCUGUCGCAUGAUGGGUCUGGGAAAGAUAUUGUUUCGGUGGGGGAUGGGCUCGCGGCCUAUCAGCUUGUUGGUGGGGUGAUGGCCUACCAAGGCGGUGACGGGGAGCCGGCCUGAGAGGGUGGACGGUCACACUGGGACUGAGACACGGCCCAGACUCCGACGGGAGGCAGCAGGGGGGAAUAUUGCACAAUGGGCGCAAGCCUGAUGCAGCGACGCCGCGUGAGGGAUGGAGGCCUUCGGGUUGUGAACCUCUUUCGCCAGUGAAGCAGGCCUGCCUCGUUUGUGGGUGGGUUGACGGUAGCUGGAUAAGAAGCGCCGGCUAACUACGUG